GAUCAUUGUCGAAACCCUGCCUGCUAGAACGACCCGCGAAC
rnacentral:rRNA from 1 species